GGUGCCCUUUUGGUUUUGUUUCUCUUUUCAUCAUCUCCAAACUUGAUGCCAUGUCUGGAGCAUUUACUCAUCCUAGGCAAUAAAGUUUAGGAUGAAAUGUGCAAAAAAACUAGCUUGGUAAGAGAUUUCCUUAUAUUAUUUUACCUUUAAAAGCAUUUAUCACCUGCAAAAUCAAUCUUUAUAUGGGCACUGAAGAAUAAAAUGAAAAGAAGCUUCUUCAUGAAGUUAAUUAUCUCCUGAAGCUUUGUAGCUUUCUGAUGCUACAAUACACAAUUAAAUUAUUUAGAAUUGACAGUGUUUAGUGAAAACAGGAGUACUGAUAAUCUACAGCAGCAGCUGCUUUACAAAAUAUAAGACACAUUGAAAUAAGAUAAAUUUUGUGUGUGCUUUCCUUGAAGUUGGGUGUGUCAGUACUUGCAGAAGCAAACAGAUAAUACUGAACACAGGUAUAAUAUGUUUUAAAACCUUAAUGCAUGAAACCUUAGAAUUCUAGAAUGCAGUACUUUCUGCAUCACCUGUAAUAUAGUAGCUGUUAUCCUGAACUAAAAUGUGACUUGACAUUGGCAGAACAAAUUGCUCUCAGACUCUAAUAAGGUCAUGACUGGAUACAGUUCUACAUAGACACCAAUUCUAUAAUGCCUAAUAAUUAUAUAUACUAUCUAAAUGCACUGUUCAGUGCAACUUACAUCUUAGGGCCACAUAUGAAAAAGGUUUUUUAAUAUUCUUCUCAGUGGAAAAUGUGUGUUUCUAAAAUUUGGUAAAAUAAGUAGGAUGUGCAAGAGAUAACACUGCGCUAAGAGUCUGCUUUGUUAAUAUAAAAAAAUAUAAUAAUGGGCAGAAAAAAUCUUCAAUCUGUGACUUAUGGUCUUUUGAAAGGAUUCUUGACCUUUUUUAGAAAAGCCUAGGAGGUUUUAUACUCUGCCCUGCUUUUGGGGUAGACUUAUUUCAGCUUUCUACUUGCUUUAGCAGUGUCUUGCAACAUCCUACUUGUUUACUUGGGAAAGAUGAUGGGAAGAUAUUUGUGCUUAAAUUCUUUUUAAAUGUAUCAUAAUUUGGGGGGGGGGAAUGUAAAUACAUCAGUGAACAUUUUUUUUGCAAACAUUUCCAUGAUUUUCUUUUGUCUGAUAAAACAUUGAAAUAACAAGUACAUUUGCACAGCCCUUCUCAAAAUCAUUUCAGCAAUCAUUCCUCAGAAAAGGAAGCUAAGCUUAUAAGGCGGAGAGGGAGGAGGGAAUGCAAGUCAUAGCUAUAAAAUUGAUAUUCUUUAUAUGCUGACUUAUUAUGACUCCAGUCUGCAUUACAUGGUAUUUUGUGGGCAAGAUACUACUCUAUUAGUCCUGCAUAAUGCCAAAUGUAAUAACACUCAGAAUUACCUAAUGGAAAGGCUCCUUACCAAACUGUGCUUUAGAAAUGGUUACAUUACAUGUAAAGAAUUGUAAAGGAGAGAGAUACAUGAGAAAGAGGGAAUGUGACAUUUGCUUUUACCUUCCAAGAUAAAUUGAUUAGGUGACUCCUAAUAUGUUGUCUGAAUAACAAAAAGUCUAAGCUUGGCUACAGUGCAGGUUGCCAAGUAAAUAGAAAUAAUUUCACAUCACAGAGGCUGUGAGUUUUAUCUGUGGAAAAAAAAAAUUGAAAUAAAUUUUCCCCAAAUUUUUCCAUAUAUUCAACAGCUGCAGACAUGACUGUUGCCUUGAAGAUUUUAAACUAGAUUAUGAUCAGACUUUAAGGCACAUAUGACAAUGUCUUAUGCAAUGUCUUAAUAACUCCUUGGAAAAACGAUGUAAGAGUAGUCAUGUCAUUUCUCUGAUCUGCUGUAAAAAUAAGUUGUUCAAUUGAAUUCUUUGUGAGUAGAUUGAAGGUUUAUGCCAGGUAUAAUUUUCAGUGUUAGAUGAUUUAGCUGGUUUUAGCUGAUUUUUUGCUGUACUUUAAUUUUAAUAGAGGCCAUAUGGUUAAUCUUUAAUGUCUGAUCUGGGUGUGACAAAUUCAGUGGGGAAUGCUUGAGAAAAGUGAAGAUCAAAUACCCUGUUAAAUAAUACAAUAGGAAGAAGCAGCUGCAGCUAAGAAGUGCCUUACCCAUUGGCAGUUCUAGAUGGAACAGCAAUUGGGAUUUUGGUGAUUUUUAGUUAGGAAAAAACUAGUUUGUUUCUUUAAUACUUCACAGACCAUGGAGCUGUCCCUGUUCAGUAUUUUCUUUUGAGUUUACUGAUCACAUUGAGUAAGCUUUUAUUUCCUUAUUGGUAUUCCAACUUCUGAAUAUCUUUAAAAGGGAUCCUUGCAAAAUUUACAAUGUUGACUCAGUAGACGUGCCCUGAAGGACCAACCACUCUUUCAUUUUUCCUUCUAAGUGUUGGUGUUACAUGAAAAAUGAAGGUCUGCUUAUAUUGAAGAACUCUCUGUCUGUAUGCUGACCUGAACAUUUUCAAAUAAAUGCAAAACAGCAAUGCUGUCACCAUGUUUUCUUGCACCAGCCUACAAUUUCAAAUUCUUAGACUUGAUAGGCUCAAGGGAGAAACCCUGGUGAGCUUUACUUUGUGAAGUAAGAAACCUGGAUUUUCUUCUUGUUCUUACUACACGUUACUAAGAGAAUGCCUGCCAAACAAAUUUGAAAAUCUUUUGCAGUUUUCUGCAAGGGAAAGUUUUUCUGCAUUGUUUCAAACAGAAAAAUCUGCUGUAGUAAGGCUAUCUGUUAAAUUGCAGAAUUCAGAAAUACUUUCUGGGCUUGAAACCAAGGGCUUUGCUAUUUAGUGUUGAAAUGUAUGACAGAAUUACCUUACACACUCAACUUGGAACUUUUUAUUUGGACCAGAUCCUUUCUCUGAACAACUCUGAAACCAGAGCUAGAGUUGUAUAUACAGCACUUACAUUCAAUUAUUUUGAUGUAGCCUAAGAUGAUUUACAUUUCAGAGCAAGCAAAUGUUAGCAGGUGUUACAUCUAUGUGAAGUACCCUGGUGAAAGAUGGUUUUGUACCUCUGAAGCACUGAUGAAUUCUCCACAGCAUUCCCCUGAGCUAGUGCAUUGUGCCUUUUGCUAGAGAGGCACAAUGGUACCAAAAUAUCUGAAGUGUAUUCCACAUCUGAAGUAAAUGUGCCCCACAACUAUUUCUCCUGCUAAUGCUGAAGAUAAACUAGCAACAAAUUAGGAGUCUGGCAAAAGUCUUAGGAUUGACUUUUGCCAUGAGCCUCCAGUAGAAGAUAGAAAAUAUCUAAGGUCCUCUGAUCUCUGUUUUCAUAUCUAAUUCUAGAAUUUGUCUUCUCUCCUUUAUCAAAUGUGGAAGUAUAUAUUUUCCUCUGUCUUUUCUAGAACAGUUUUGAUAAUGAGAUUGCCCUGUGAGUCUGAAUGUGCUUUUAAUCAGGUGCAAUAUUAUUUUUAUCCUCCUCUUAAAAGUUGACUCUGUAUGAAUUCUGCCUACAUUCUUCCAGAAUUCUUCAGCUGCUUCUAGAACAUGUUGACCUAUUUAUAAACUAAUAAAACUCAAAAAUAAAAAUGCUUAACACAUCAUGAAAUUACUCAAACUGUCCUUUUACUUCUCUCAGUUGUGCAUAUAAUUGCUCUCUUUUAAGCAUAAAACUUAUCCAUGUUGAUCUUUCAGAUGGCUAUAGAUUUGAAAGAUUCAGAGAUCAGAAAAUCAAAUUGAUCCAAUCUGAGAUGUUAGCAGAAUAAAUAUGGUUUAGGUUUAACACCAUAUGAGCCUCUCAGGAUUCCUUCUUAUAAACAUACAUAGAAAAGAAUUUGGAUCCUUUUUUUAAUAAUUUUACUAACUGAGAUCUCAGAUCCAGCAAAUCUGUAAAUGAAAAUCUAAUUCAAUAGCAAUAAUCUGAAGUACAUGCAAAGUUUGAGGAACCUUUGUGAAAUUCCACACUGGCUAUAGGAUAUCCAGUUGAUAGACCAGUUUAUAGGAUAUAUGAAAACUAAUAUUUAAUUGCAGAAAACUGUUUUAAUGGAUUUUUUUCUUUCCCCUUUUUUGUUUUAAACCAAAUACUCACAAAAAGAAUAAAGGAAAAACUACACUUCAGCAUUUAACACAUAUGGUAACUGAACCUGAAAUUUUCAUGGUGUCAGAAAAGACAUUUAAAUUUCUCUGGAGAGGCUGGACUCUCUGCCUCAGUCUUGUGAUCUAAUCUAGACAUAUAAAUGAUGGGAAAAAAAACUGGUUCAAUAGUGUUGUGCUACUCUGCAUAGUUAAAGUGGGCUAAGGAAACAUGCCUCUUAUUUGUAACCUGGGGUUAUUAGUCUCAUUGAUAUUAAUACACCAGUUACAAUCAGGCUAACAGUCAUACUCAAAAUAAUCUAUUUAUUACCUAAAGAGCCUGAUUAAUAAUAGAAAGUUUUUUCUUUCCAAGAAAAGCAAAAGUUUCAGCUAUCUGUGAGAUGCUAUUUUGUAUCAUUGGCUUUUAUAAACUAAGUUCUUAUUUUCAAAACUCAGUAACUUUACUGUUUUCUCACUCACUAUAUAUAAGUAUUUAAAAGUAGCCCAAAAUACAUCCUAUUAUUUUGUAGUGUUUUAAAUCCCAGAUUCCUCACCAGGGGGUUUAUGAUGUUGAUAAUGGAGUUUUUUUCAUCUAUUCUUGGGGUUUUUUGUGUCCAUGGGGUUUUUUAUGGUGUUAUUGCCCUACGGUUCUUUGGGUUUAUCCCCAAAAUUUUUAUUUUAUUACCUCCCAAGGUGCAUUUGUAGUAAUCAGUAACUGAUGCUUAAUUAUAUGUUUAAACCCACUUGGUCCCUAGAAUAAAUCUGUUCCUUCAAGAUCUUUGGUAUCAGCCCGUACUUAUGUGUCAGUGCACAACUUUAUCAUUCCAAAGCCACAAAUAAUUCUGCACAGAAUAACUGCUACUGCUUAUUGUUAAUUAAGAAUAUAUCAUAUUUAUAAUGUUUGUGGUCAUUAUGCCACACGAUUAUACUAAAGCUAAAAGCAAAUUAGGCAGUAGUCACAAAUAAUUCUCUUACACAUAUAUGUCUUAAUGCUAAAGCAAGCUAAAAGAAGAGAAACUGAGAUAAUAUGAAGUGUCCUGAGACCUCUGUUAAUGCAAAUCUUUUUGCCUGUUACAAGUAAUGACAAUACCAUAUCUUUUGGGCCGCAAUAUCACAGAAUCAGAGAGUAUGCCAAGUUGCAGGGGACCUACAAGUAUCAUUGAGUCCAUCUUAGCCCUGCACAAGACAGCCCCAAGAGUCACAACAUGUUCCCAAGAGCAUUGUCAAAACACUUCAACUUUGUCAGGCUUGGUGCUGUGACCGCUGCCCUGGGGAGCUGUUCCAGGGCAGGACCAUCCUCUAGGUGAAGAACCUUUCUGUGGUAUCCAACCUACACCUCCCUUGGGACAACUUCAGGCCAUUCCCUCAGGUCCUGUCACUGGUCACCAAAGAGCAAAGAUCAGAGUCUGUCCCUCCUCUUUCCCUUACAAGGAGCUGUAACUGCAGUGAGGUCUCCCCUCACUGUCUCCUCCAGGCUGAACAGACCAAGUGACCUCAGCUGCUCCUCAUACAGCUUCCCCUUAAGGCCCUUCCCCAUCUUUAUUGUCCUCCUUUGGACACACUCUAAUAGUUUAACGUCCUUUUUUAAUUUCAGUGCCCAAAACUGCCCCCAGGACUCAAGGUGAGGCCACCCCAGUGCAGAGCAGAGUGGGACUAUCCCCUCCCUUGCCCAGCUGGCCAUGCUGUGUCUGAUGCCACUCAGGACACGGUAACUUUCAAUCAGCCAGGAUCCCCAGGUCACUUUCUGUGGCACUGCUUUCUAGAAUCUCAUUACCUAGUCUAUCUAUACAUCCAGGGUUGGCAUAUUCCAGGUGCAGAGUCUGGCACUUUCCCUUGUUGAACUUCAUAUGGCUGGUGAUUGCCUAGCCCUCUAAUUUUUUUUGGACUCUCUCCAGGGCUUUCCUUCCUUCGAGGGAGGCAGCAGCUCCUCCCAGUUCUCAUUCAUCUGCCAACUUUCUCAGUAUCCCUUCCAGUCCUGCCUCCAGGUGAUAUCCAAAGAUGUGAAAUAGCACAAGGCCUAAGAUGGAGCCCUCUGGGACCCCACUAGUGACAGGUCACCAGUCUGAUGUCACCCCAGUUACUGUUACCCUUUGUGCCCAAACCAUAAGCCAGUUGCUCACACAUCAUAUGAUGUGUUUAUGCAGCUGAGUUCUGGACAUUUUGUCUGGAAGGAUACUAAGAGAGUAUCAAGAGCUUUGCUGAAAUCCAAAAAGAUCUCAUUGAGUGGCUUGCCUUGAUCCACGAGGUGGGUUACAUUGUCAUGAAAGGAAACCAGGUUUGAUAAGCAGGACUUUCAUGAAGCUGUCCUGGCUGUGACCAGUAACUGCGUUGUUUUUCCUUACCCCCCCAGAAUAACAUUCUCCAUAACUUUACCAGGCACUGAAGUGAGAGUGACAGGCCUGUAUUUGCCAGAGUCCUUCUUACCUCUCUUGAAAAUCACAACACUGUUUACCAGCUUCCAGUCAGCUGGGACCUCUGUGCAUUUCCAAGACUGCUCAAAAAUCAUUGGGAGAGGUUUUGCAAUUACAUCAGCCGCUCUUUGGGGAGUCUUGGAUGAAUCCUAUCAGUCCCCAUAGAGCUGUAAGGAACCAGCUGGACCAGCAGAUCCCAGACAGUUUCAGAGUUGAUUGACUGGGAGUUGGUCAUUCUUGUAGACAUGGUCCUCCAGUUCAGGGCACUGAGAUCCCUUGGUGCAUCAUCUGUGUUGAAGCAGAGGCAAAGAAUGCAUUAAGCACAUCUGCCUGGUCCAUGUCCCUGUUUGUGAGGUGACUGACCUGUAAUGGGCCAAUGUUAUUUGUAGAUUGAUUUUGCUAUUAAUAUAUUUGAAAAGAUUAUUUUUAUUUUCCUGCACAUUUUUGGCUAUCUUCAACUCUAGUUUGAGCUUUGGCUGCACAGACCUAAUUUACAUAAAUUACAGUGGCAAGCAGCAUCUUGUAGCAGCAUCCAUAGCCUAUCUAAUAACUUGUUGUUAGGUAAUGUAUUUAAGGAUAGACAAAAAUUAUUUUAAAAUAAGGCAUCAUACUACUUUUGUGCAAUAUUUUAUUUAUUUUGCACAUACAGACCACAUUCUUAAAAUCUGUAAUUCAGCCAUUGUGUUUUACUCCAAACUGAAACUUGAAAAUAGUAGUUUGCAAAUCAGGAUGAAAACUAUUAUUAUUUAUUGAUUAUACACUUUAGUUCGUGUUUAUUGGCAACUUCUAAGUAAUGCAGACACAAAUUUUGGAUUCAGAAGCAAUGAGAAUAUUCCUAUAAAAAUUAUUUUAGUAUGGAAUGUGACUUGUACUUUUGGCUAUUUUUAUAUAUCCAUAUAUAUAUAUAUAGCAUGUGAUAAACCAGUAAAUUUACUGAGUUUUAAAAAGCAGCACUUAUAGUUUAUAAUAGCUGUUGAGGGAAGACAGUGUCUCAUGUGCUACUGAAUCUUCUGCUCCCUUUCUAGCAAUGAAAAGCUUUUACUGAGUUAUCAGAACAUCGGCUUUAUUUAGUAAUAUUGUUCACAUGCUACUUUAAUUAGGUAAUAAUUUAUAUGUACAAAAAUUCCUUUAGAAUUAAUUUCAAAAGAAAUGUAUGCUUAACAAUAUUUUCAUGAAAUAGUUACAAAAGAUUAAAUAUACAAACCAGAAUGAUGUGAGUAUGCAUUUAGAUAAAUAGGUGUUGUCAGAAGAAUGAAUAGAAGUUAUUCUAGAAUCCAUAGAAUAGAAUUGUUCUCUAUUGAAUGAGAUCUUCAGUAGAUCAGAAUUUUGAGAUAUUUUAUAUUUUUUGCACAUAGCCAACAGCCCCCUAUCUCAUAUGACACCCACUUGACACUCCACCUUGUACCAACACACGCAGAAGGUGAACUGAUACAAGCGUAAAGGACACCUCUGUGAGUUUUGUGCUAGUAGGAACUGCAGAGCUAUGCCCUACAUAUAAAGAUAAUCCAAUGUGAAAUUACACUAUUUUUUUAAGAAAAGUGUUACCCACAUAACAAUUAUAUCAAAUACAUUGCUAAAAAUUACCACAAAUUCAAAAGGAGAUUGAAUUAUGGUUGCUAUGGAAACUGUAACAUGCAGCUUCCUGACUUGAUGCGUGCAAAAUUUCAACAUUAAUAUCACGCUGAUACAUAUUUUCACUUUUUUCUUCACUUGAAUAGGUGAAGAUGGAGGUUGUGUAAAAUAAUAUAUCCAUUCAAGUUAUAUAGCUCUGUCAUGCCAUCUAGUAUUUUUUGUUAACUACAGAGUACAUGUAGAGGUUUACAGACGCUUUACCAUAUUUAUGCUGCAGCGAAAAAUUAAAUGUUCUAAGCAUAUGUUUCUUACAACAGAAGGAAGAUGUUCUACCCACAUAGGCUAUUUUAUAGAAGGGCCGGUGGAUAAUCAUGGAUAUACAGAAAAGUACCAUACAUGGAAAACAAAGAUCUUGGAAUAAGCCCUGUAAAAAGGGUGAAAUUUAUUUGCACAAAAGGUUAUAAUCCUCAAAUUCAUUUGAAUUAUCAAGUCUUGGCACUGGGGUUUAUGUGCAGCCACUGUAAAGUGUGUACUCUUCCCCAGGUAGAUAGCUAUGGCAUGUGAGGUGCCAUAAAAACUUCAUGGUGAGAGCCAGCGUGCUGAGAAUCAGGUCAUUUCCCCGUGCAGAAGAGCACAGUAGCAUAGCUGUGGCUGAGGUGAUAGUGUUGAAGCAGACACCAUUUGGGCCUACAUGCAGUGAGUCCAGGUAAUUUCCACUUUGUCUGCUCUAGCACUGAGCUUUGUGCUGUUAUUUCUAGGUCCUUACUAGUACCUUAUGUAGAUAAUUUAAAGCUCCUUCAGAUUGUCUGUGUUGCAUUGCACUAGCAUGACUGUCUAACAUGCCCUGGAGUACUAAUAUAUUAAAAGCUAAUAAAAUACUUAGGAAAAAUGAAACCAUUUGAGAUUCAAUGUAAUUAUUGUUUUUCAGGAUCUCCAGGGCUUGUGGCUUGUUGCUGGAACAGCAGAAUACCUUUUAGCGACAAAAAAAAAAAAAAAAAAAAAAAAA
ensembl:lncRNA